rnacentral:rRNA from 1 species
CCUACGGGUGACUGCAGUGAGGAAUAUUGGUCAAUGGGCGCGAGCCUGAACCAGCCAAGUAGCGUGAAGGAUUACUGCCCUACGGGUUGUAAACUUCUUUUAUAAAGGAAUACAGUGAGGCACGUGUGCCUUUUUGUAUGUAAUUUAUGAAUAAGGUUCGGCAAACUCCGUGCCAGCAGCCGCGGUAAUCCGGAGGUUCCGAGCGUUAUCCGGAGUUAUUGGGUUUAAAGGGAGCGUAGGUGGGUUGUUAAGUCAGGUGUGAAAGUUUUCGGCUCAAACGUAAAAUGGCAAUUGAUACUGGCAGUCUUGAGUACAGGUGAGGUAGGCGGAAUUCGUGGUGUAGCGGUGAAAUGCUUAGAUAUCACGAAGAACUCCGAUUGCGAAGGCAGCUUACUAAACUGCCACUGACAUUGAGGCACGAAAGUGUGGGUAUCGAACAGGAUUAGAUACCCGUGUAGUC